rnacentral:other from 1 species
AGAAUCCUAAUUUACUUGUAAUUGCUUUUCAACUCUUUUGACCGAACAAUCAAUCGUCGGGAACCCAUAUUUUAUCUUGGCAAACAAGCCCUGCAACUGGCCGAGGGAAGUUUAAAGGGAUGAAGAGGGUACCCACCUGCAUGGGAAGCGGGUUCAAAACGAUGUUACUUGCUUACGGUAUGUUUAGGAUUCUA